AUUGAACGCUGGCGGCAGGCCUAACACAUGCAAGUCGAGCGAGCGGCGGACGGGUGAGUAAUGUCUGGGGAACUGCCCGAUAGAGGGGGAUAACUACUGGAAACGGUGGCUAAUACCGCAUACUCUCGGAUGAACCCAGAUGGGAUUAGCUAGUAGGUGGGGUAAAGGCUCACCUAGGCGACGAUCCCUAGCUGGUCUGAGAGGAUGAUCAGCCACACUGGGACUGAGACACGGCCCAGACUCCUACGGGAGGCAGCAGUGGGGAAUAUUGCACAAUGGGCGCAAGCCUGAUGCAGCAAUGCCGCGUGUAUGAAGAAGGCCUUAGGGUUGUAAAGUACAUUCAGCGGGGAGGCGUUACCCGCAGAAGAAGCACCGGCUAACUACGUGCCAGCAGCCGCGGUAAUUC
rnacentral:rRNA from 1 species